rnacentral:rRNA from 1 species
UACUACGGCCAUACCACCCUGAACACACCCGAUCUCGUCUGAUCUCGGAAGCUAAGUAGGGUCGGGCCUGGUUAGUACUUGGAUGGGAGAACUAAGCCUUUUAGUAA